rnacentral:rRNA from 1 species
UACGAACCGUACAAACGUUAUUCGGAAUUAUUGGGCGUAAAGGGCGCGUAGGCGGCCAUUCAAGUGACGGGUGAAAGCCCUCGGCUUAACCGAGGAACUGCCUGUCAGACUGGAUGGCUUGAGACCGGGAGAGGUGAGUGGAAUUCCCAGUGUAGCGGUGAAAUGCGUAGAUAUCUGGAGGAACACCGGUGGCGAAGGCGGCGUCCUGGACCAACACUGACACUGAGGAGCGAAAGCCAGGGGAGCAAACGGG